rnacentral:rRNA from 1 species
CCUAGUUGAUUCUACUAGUAGUUAUAUACUUAUCUCAAAAAUUAAACUAUAUAUAUCUAAAUAUAAGUAAUUAUAUAGCGAAACUACAAAUAGCUUAUUAUAUAAGUUAUUAUUUAUUUAAUAAUACCUUACUACUUAGAUAACUAUAGUAAUUCUAAAGUUAAUAUAUACUAAAAAUCCUAACUUCAGAAGGGAUAUAUUUAUUAAAUUAAAAACUAAUACCUUUUGGGGCUUACUAGUGAUUCAUAAUAACUUCUCAAAUCGUAUAGCCUUAUACUAGUGAUAGUUUAUUCAAAUUUCUUCCCUAUCAACUUUUAAUACUAAAGUAGUAUUCUAGUAUAGUUAUAAUAGGUAACAGAGAGUUAAAGCUUAACCCCAGAGAAGAAGCCUAAGAAACAGCUACUAUAUCUAAGGAAGGCAGUAGGCACGCAAAUUACCUAAUCCCAACACAGAGAGGUAGUAAUAAUAAAUACUAAUAUAGAGCUCUUUUAGAUCUUGUAAUUAGAAUAAGUAUAAUUUAAAUCCCUUAAUGAGGAAUAAUUAGAAAGUAAGUCUAAUACUAGCAGUUACAGUAAUUCCAGCUCUAAUAGUAUAUAUUAAAGUUAUUAUGGUUAAAAAGCUUAUAGUAGAACCUUAGGCCUGGCUGGCUAGUCUGCCUCACUGCAUAUACUAGUCCAGCUAGGCUUUUCUCUCUGUGGAACUAUAUGCCCUUCACUAGAUAUACUAAAGAAACAAGACUUUUACUUUAAAAAAAUUAGAAUGCUCCAGGUAAGCCUAUACUUAAAUAUAUUAGUAUAGAAUAAUAGAAUAGAAUAUAUAAUUCUAUUUUAUUAGUUUCUAGGAUUACUAUAAUAAUUAAUAGGGACAGUUAGGAGUAUCAGUAUUUAAUUAUUAGAAGUGAAAUUCUUAGAUUUAUUGAAGACUAACUACUGCAAAAGUAUUUACUAAAAAUAUUUUUAUUUAUUAGGAAUAAAAGUUAGAAGAUUGAAGACAAUCAGAUAUUAUUAUAGUCUUAACUAUAAACUAUACUAACUAGAGAUCGGACAAUGUUAUUUUUUGACUCGUUCGGCACCUUACAAGAAAUCAAAAUGCUUAGGCUCCAGGGGGAGUAUGGUCGUAAGGCUGAAACUUAAAGAAAUUGACGGAAAGGUACUACUAGGGGUAAAUAGUAGUUAUUUAAGCUCUACUCCAGACAGCAAGCCCGUAAAGGGUCUAGUGGCUAGCCCCGAAUCGCUAGUCACUCCAGUAGUAGCAAUAUUCCCUAAUUGUGGGAAACUCUCAGAGAGUAGCACUCCCAAGUAGCGCUCGAAAGAGAUACUAUAGUAGCAGCGUAACAGCCGCCAGUAUAGAGAUAACAUACCACUCAUAAGGUAACUUGCAGCUAAGCUUCUAACUAUAGGGAAAGUUUAGAGACUCAACAGGGAUAAGUAACGCCCCCAGGCGCCACCUAAGAUAGAGUCCAUACCCACUUGAGAGAGCAGAGACUAACUAGUAUAUUACCUAAAAAGGAAGCCUACAGCUUAAUUUAACUUAACAUAGGGAAACUCACCAGAUCCAGACACAAUAAAGAUUAAUAGAUUAAAAGCUUUUUCUUAAUUUUGUGGGUAGUAGUGCAUAGCUAUUCUUAGUUAGUAGAGUAAUUUGUCUACUUAAUUGCGAUAAUAAACGAGACCUUAACCUACUAAAUAGCCUAUAUUACUUUAGCAGUAUACUAACUUCUUAGAGGGAUUAUUAGCUUAAACUGAUAGAAGUUUAAGGUAAUAAUAAGUUAACCUUCACAAACCUAUAAUAG